rnacentral:rRNA from 1 species
GGGCAUAUAACGUUGAAACACAGAUUCUCGUACGAUCACCGAAGUUAAGCAGCGUCAAGCCUUGUCAGUACCUAGAUGGGUGACCGUUUGGGAAUACCGAGUGCUGAA